GGCGAUCCGGGGUCUGGGCGCGGCGAGGUCUGGUGUGGCAGAUGUGGAUAGCUGGACCCUCCUGGGUGCCUCUGCGUUAUGUCGUUUGGUUGAUGCAUUUGGAGAGAAUCUGUGCUCUCCACAACUGCAGGGGCAACAUGCUUUCCUGGCCUCUUCAGAUCAGGGUGGCUGUUCUUGGGUGCUGCACCAAAACUCCAGCAGUGGGCUUUCUUCAAGUGGCCGGCUCACCUCAUUCCUGCCAAGACCCAGGUCCGUGUUCUCACAGUGCUGCCAUCUUUCCUCCGUGUGAGCGUGGGCUGUGCGGAGAGUGGACCUCGGUGUGUGCGGGGCUGCGUGCACUGCCAUCGCUCCCUCUACACGAGCCGGCGUGGACCCAGGGCUGAGCUGUGACCACGAGGGCCAUCCCGACGAGCCGCCAUGGACCCAGGGCUGAGCUGUGACCAUGAGGGCUAUCCCGACGAGCUGCCGUGGACCCAGGGCUGAGCCGUGACCAUGAGGGCCAUCCCGAAACUGUGAUUGUUUUCUGGUAUGUGGGGGAUGUGCCAGAACCAGGGCUGAGCUGUGACCACGAGGGCCAUCCCGGAGCUGUGAUUGUUUUCUGGUGUGUGGGGAAUGUGCCAGCACUCACGUGGCUAUGGCUGCUUUUGCACCAUGGGUGCGUGUGCCAAACAGGAGAGCAGCUCUGCCCAGCAGAAGCCACU
rnacentral:lncRNA from 1 species